rnacentral:rRNA from 1 species
CAGGCUUAACACAUGCAAGUCGAGGGGAAACGACAUCGAAAGCUUGCUUUUGAUGGGCGUCGACCGGCGCACGGGUGAGUAACGCGUAUCCAACCUGCCCACCACUUGGGGAUAACCUUGCGAAAGUAAGACUAAUACCCAAUGACGUCUCUAGAAGACAUCUGAAAGAGAUUAAAGAUUUAUCGGUGAUGGAUGGGGAUGCGUCUGAUUAGCUUGUUGGCGGGGUAACGGCCCACCAAGGCGACGAUCAGUAGGGGUUCUGAGAGGAAGGUCCCCCACAUUGGAACUGAGACACGGUCCAAACUCCUACGGGAGGCAGCAGUGAGGAAUAUUGGUCAAUGGACGAGAGUCUGAACCAGCCAAGUAGCGUGCAGGAUGACGGCCCUAUGGGUUGUAAACUGCUUUUAUAAGGGAAUAAAGUGAGUCUCGUGAGACUUUUUGCAUGUACCUUAUGAAUAAGAACCGGCUAAUUCCGUGCCAGCAGCCGCGGUAAUACGGAAGGUCCGGGCGUUAUCCGGAUUUAUUGGGUUUAAAGGGAGCGUAGGCCGGAGAUUAAGCGUGUUGUGAAAUGUAGACGCUCAACGUCUGCACUGCAGCGCGAACUGGUUUCCUUGAGUACGCACAAAGUGGGCGGAAUUCGUGGUGUAGCGGUGAAAUGCUUAGAUAUCACGAAGAACUCCGAUUGCGAAGGCAGCUCACUGGAGCGCAACUGACGCUGAAGCUCGAAAGUGCGGGUAUCGAACAGGAUUAGAUACCCUGGUAGUCCGCACGGUAAACGAU